UAAAAUGUCUACCGGUACCUCCUCAUAUGAUAGAUCCUCCUAAAGUGAAAGUGGCUCGUGAGAUAAGACAUGCGAGGGGCCUGGGUUGUACUUGCUUGAUAUAGACACAUAAAACACAUUCUGCACUCUGGAUAGCUCUAGAAGUAGUGCUAGUCUGUAGGCGGACGUACCAAUCAUGUCCAAGAUAUCAAACAGUCCAAUGAAUUGGAGAUUUAAUUUUUCUCUCUUACCAAACAUGCUGAUACUCUUGAAGGGGGUGACCUUAAGAAACACUCAAUCACCCUUCUCAAAUUUUAAAUAUCUCAUUCGGGUGUUUGUAUAACUCUUCUGUCUACUCUGAGUUGUCUAGAUAUUCUUUCUGAUUUUAACUAUCUUGGUUGUGGUCUCCUCUACAAGAUCUAGGU
rnacentral:lncRNA from 1 species